GAUGAACGCUGGCGGCGUGCCUAAUACAUGCAAGACGAGCGAACAGACGAGGAGCUUGCUCCUCUGACGUUAGCGGCGGACGGGUGAGUAACACGUGGAUAACCUACCUAUAAGACUGGGAUAACUUCGGGAAACCGGAGCUAAUACCGGAUAAUAUAUUGAACCGCAUGGUUCAAUAGUGAAAGACGGUUUUGCUGUCACUUAUAGAUGGAUCCGCGCCGCAUUAGCUAGUUGGUAAGGUAACGGCUUACCAAGGCAACGAUGCGUAGCCGACCUGAGAGGGUGAUCGGCCACACUGGAACUGAGACACGGUCCAGACUCCUACGGGAGGCAGCAGUAGGGAAUCUUCCGCAAUGGGCGAAAGCCUGACGGAGCAACGCCGCGUGAGUGAUGAAGGUCUGCGGAUCGUAAAACUCUGUUAUUAGGGAAGAACAAAUGUGUAAGUAACUAUGCACGUCUUGACGGUACCUAAUCAGAAAGCCACGGCUAACUACGU
rnacentral:rRNA from 1 species